CUGAAAAAAGCUCUCGAAAGGUUACACACACUUGUCUGUGUUUACAUACAUCAGUCAGGUUUACUAUCUGUACCUCAUCACUGGAAGCAGAGCCAGUAGCGAGUGUCAGCACAGCCCACACAACCUUCCUGGAAGGAAGUAGCCAGGAAGCGAGCCACAUCGGAAGGGGAUGCCACACUCCUCCGAGUCCUCCUCUUGUAGCUGGGCAGAGAGCAGCUCUAAAAGAAGAGGACAAGAAAACAGGCCCCAGUAAGAGGAGACGAUGGACCCGCAAAGUGACGCCCGACGACCGUAUUAACUGCACGUCAGGCUACUUUAGCCGCUCGUCAUCAACUAGUAGCCAUCAGCACUCACCUGUACGCUGCUUGCCGGAAGUUUUGAGGACAUCGGAAGGACAGACAGCGAAAUCCUCCCUGGAUGUUGAAGCAGUUUUCAGAGAAAGAACAGGGUUCUCCUUGGAAGAAGGGCCUCUCACAGACCCAUUGCUCCUUGGCCAUCUGAAUGCCCUUUUCACAGAGUCGGUCUUCUACUGCUGCCGCACAGCACUGCUCCUGGG